ACCUGGCGAUGUGGGCAUUUAUAGAGCAGGUCCCUAAAACGCUCCCAAGUCUCGAAAAAGAGUUCCCCAUCUAUUUGUGAGAAACUUGUAAUGGCUCUCCAAAGCU